rnacentral:rRNA from 1 species
UACGUAGGGGGCAAGCGUUGUCCGGAUUUAUUGGGCGUAAAGAGCUCGUAGGCGGUUGGGCAAGUCACGUGUGAAAUCUCCACGCUCAACGUGGAGGCGCCACGUGAGACUGCCCUGACUCGAGUCCGGUAGGGGAGCGUGGAAUUCUCGGUGUAGCGGUGAAAUGCGUAGAUAUCGAGAGGAACACCUGCGGCGAAGGCGGGUUGCUGGGCUGACACUGACGCUGAGGCGCGAAAGCUAGGGGAGCGAACGGG